UUUUUUUUUUUUUUACUUUUAAUAAAAUGUAUGCAAGAUAUAUCCCAUGGACUUCAAAAGUCCCUCAGUUAUAUAUUGACCCAUUUGUGUGUCACAAUAAUGGAUUUUUCACCAUGUUUUAAAUGACCUUAACAUUUGCCCUCCUGACAUGCAGCUUGCAUAUAGUGAGAGAGAGAAUAUAACCACAGUGCUGCAACCAAACAGCUGUUUUGUUCAAUAUCUCCAAAAAAUCUGAACAUUCUUGCAAAAAUUUCCUUCAGUUUUAAUUAGUGACACUUAUCGAUAAUGAUUAGUUGUUUCCGUGGCGCUUUAGGCAUCGCACUGAAUCACUGUGUUCUUAAUUUAUGAUUUGUAAAGGUUGCAUGAUGCCGCCUCAAGCUUUAGAAAGCAGCUUUCAUUCAAUGAAAAGGUCAAAUAUUAAACUAAAUGCAUUCAAACAUAUUUGUAAGAUAUAUUUCAUAAUCUUACUUUAAUGAAAUACUUCAUUACUUUAUUGCUUUGUGCUCAUAAAAUCACUUUAUGUUGAAGUUUUUGUUCUGCAUUGUUUACAGCCCAUUUACAGACUUCUGGAAGCAAGAAAAAAAUCACCGUAUUCUUUUUCUUGCUAAAAUGCAAUUUGGUGGAUUCAUUUCAUGCUUAAUCUCUGUUUUGACUCAAUUGUUACUAUAUAAACAGACAUUGUGUAGAAUCCAUGAAGAAAAACAAUAGAAGAUGACUUUUCAUCUGAUAGAAAUAAAGCCCAGACGUUCCAGUGAGCUAAAAACUGAUCCUGACAGCAGUAACACAACCUGGGCAGACUACACUUCAUGAGACUGGAACCAGACUGAACUGGGCUGUGGCUUGUGAAGGUGGAUGCCAGGCCAGUAGCCAGCAUGACUCAAACAGCCUGUAGGCAGCCACAAAGGGAGGGAGGAAGGAGCUGGGGUGAGGAAAGGGGGACUCAGACAGGCAGCUGGACUGAAGUAACUGCAUGAUUUCUCUGUGUUUGAGCUCUUUUCAUCUAGGAGCAAACGGAGAGAGCUUUGUGUUUAAAAAAUACAGGUUGAUGUUUGUUUCAUUAUUAGCUUUACCUGAAGUACUGACAACUAUCACCUACAAUCUACACCUGCUGAGCAGGGGAUGGAAAACGUGACACUGUUUCCAUAGCAAAUUGGAUGGAAAAUGCACCUGCAGAAGCCUGAAGUGUGAUAUCUGAGAGUGCAUCGUGGUUAAAAAAAAGACGCCAGUACAUGCAUUUCCUCUUUCAAGACUGUCAUACUGUUUGUGGUUAGAAAUACAAGGUUUCUUCUCAAUCAGUUAUUUACUGUUUCCUUUUUCCUAUUUUGUCAACACACAUAAAUUCAAGGUCAAAAUAUCAAAUAUAUUCACAUCAAUAAAUUGACUUUUGCAACUGAUUGUUUCAUUUUUAUUAAUAUCAAUGACUGGGUUGAGAUUGGGCAUCUUUAACUUGGCAUCCUACAAGCCAGGCCAUCUUUUAAGCUUGUAUAAGUGCAGGAUACGCAUUUUCAGGUGAACAUAUUAGCAGAACUGAUGGAAAGUACAUAUUUCAACAGAACCAAUGAAGUUGUUCUCUAAGUAAAGCUAGGGUGCAAAUCUAUGAUUAAUGUGUGACAUCAAGAGACAAAGGUGUCUCUGUCGGGGUGUGAUUGUGCUUUACGGCAAUCGUUAACUGGAGGCUGCUCGAGAAACGGAAAGACUUUCUCAUGGCAGUACAUUUAACACGUUCUAAACAUGACUUAACAAACAGCAACCAGUCCUUCAGUGUUGAUGCAGCUCAAUCUAUAUAUUGCUGGAAUUAUUCAUUAUCUCUGUUUAAUGAUUCACUCUCUGCAUAAGCUCACGCUGCACGUACUGCACCAUGUGCAAGCAUGUGGACCUGUUUGCACAGUUUUUUUCCAUGUGUUUGUUUUGUGUUGUGAUGUUGAUGCGUCAUGUGACUACAAGGGCUCCAUCUCACAGCCAGACGCAGGAAGUCACAUGCCAGUCACGAUGGGGGGCAUGUUUAUUUAUAAAAUGACGAUGACAAGGGACCUUCCAUCUUCCUACUCGCGAAGUAACAGCUUUCUGUGUGGUCAGUUGAGCUUCCAAGGCAAGAAAAAAAAAACACCCUGAAUAAUAUCUAAUUCUGGUGGCAACUCCUGCAGCUGUGAGUCUUUGGAGGAAAGUGCAAAGACAAAUCAAUGCUUCUACUGACAUGAAACACUGCAACUUUCACUUCAGUAUAAAAAACAGAC
ensembl:lncRNA